ensembl:lncRNA
GUCACAACGGAGCGCCGCGGCUGGCCGUGCUUCGGUAGGCAACGGGUCGGUGCUACCUGCCGCUGCUCGGCGUGUGCGUUGCACCGCGCGCGCCUCGCUGCUUCUUGUCUCCGUGUGGGUCCUGAUGAGCGGCAGGUGGUGAGGGACGCCGGGUAGGCGCGAUGAGUCUGUUCAACCUGGACCGCUUCCGCUAUGAGAAGAGGAGGACGAGCGCGGAGCAGGAUGGGCGGCCUGCUGCUGCAGCCCAGGCCCAGGAGGAGGGCAGCCCUGCUGCUGCAGCCCAGGCCCAGGAGGAGGGCAGCCCUGCUGCUGGAGCCCGGGCUCAGGAGGAGGGCAGCCCUGCUGCUGAUGGUGGUGGGAACAACACUGCAGGGAGCAGCAGGCCAGGCAGCCCAGCCUCGGUGGCAGCAGCUUGGCCUGGUUUUGCAGAGAGCAGAGAUGCCUGUUGCUUUUUAUCAGAAACUGAUUGUGUUAAUAGUUUUGCAGCAACAUUUGUCCCAUUUUCUGGUAAUAGAUUGUGGUUUUAAUGGAAAUCUGGAAAAAAAGCCUUGCUUAUAUAGGAGUUGUUUAGCUUAUUUGGCUGAUUUGUUGGAGUUGUGUUUGGAUUCAUCAGUUGAUAGUAGUGUGCAGCUGUAGUGGCUCUCAACUACAUAAUCACUCAUGACCUUUUUUUUUCCUUAUUAUACUGACAGCUUUUCUGUUUCUGAGGGUGUGGGAAUGGAAGAACAAAAAGGAUUUGUUGCUGAUUGUUUUAUACACCUUGGAUGUUCUCAUUCUGUAUAACUUCUGAUACAGAUAUCAGGAUAGAAGUGUCACUGGAGAGAUCAGGAAGGCUUUGAUUUUGCAUUUAGGUAAUGAAAGAGCAAUAGUAUCCGUUGGUGUUGUUAAACAUCAUUUGUUCCGCAUGCAGUUUACCCUUAUAAGACCAUUUAUUGUAGUGUCUUAUCUAUAUGAUAAGAGAACUUUUCUUGUAAGGGAGGAGUUUUUUUCUUUUACAAGUCCACCCAACAGUGCUGUGGUAGGUAGAUACUUAUUUUUCCAUGAAUUUUGAUGUUAUGCAGGCUUAAUGUUUUCAAUAUCAAUGAAGGCUUCAUGUUCCUAAAUAAAGGGACAAAAGCCUUGGCUUGUUAGUUACUGCAUAGGUAGGACAAAGCAUGGAUGGAGUGGAAGGGGUAUACUGCUUAGAGAGGCAUCAGUUUUCUUGUUAAGAGUAUUGAUAUGUGAGGUAAUAAAAGGCAGCCUAAAAAAGGAACUGUUGUGGAGGGUUAAGUAAUAAUGAGAAAAGUACUGAGAGGCAUUUGUGACCAGCGGUAAAUCAGAGUUGGGUAGAAGUGCAGGGCAAGUGCCUGACUUCAGUAAGGUGUCAUGGACAUAUCUAUGAUGUAGAGCACGGGUUCUAGUUAACACUUAAAAUUUAGCUGUAAUCAUUAGCACUUAUAUCACCUAGUGCUUAUGUCAUCUUCAUCUUUCACACAUACUGAGGGUUUAAAGAAUUCCUGGUGGUUUUCUGAGUUUUCCUCACAUUUGCACAUCAUUUCUAUGCAAUGCAUUAAAAAAAAAAAAAAAAAAAAAAACUACUUUAAAAAUUAAAUCAUGUUUUCUUAAGUCAAUAGAAGUUAACUGAAAAUAAAGCAUUCAAAUUUUGUCUGUAGCAUAUGAGAUACCAAAGUGUGAAAGAGUCAACUACGUUGGUUAAGCAAUUGCACUUUCUCCUUGCUUCCUAAACGGUGUUAGGAAGACAGAAUUUUUCUUUCUUCAAGUAAGACAGGUACCUAUUUUUUAUUUCUAUAUUAUUGUGGAAAAGAUGCGAAAAUGACCUAUUUAUGGCACUCUGUGCUUUCUUUUCUGCUAAAUAUGUAAGCAGAAGGGUUGAGUUGCUUUGUACAAGAACCUGUAGCUAAAAGUGAUGUGCUCUAAUUGCUCAGUAAAUCAUACAAGGACAAUGACUACCUGUAUUUCUUCUGAAGGCCAGCACAGUGGAUUU